GUGCCAGCAGCCGCGGUGAUACGUAGGGUGCAAGCGUUAAUCGGAAUUACUGGGCGUAAAGCGUGUGUAGGCGGUUCGGAAAGAAAGAUGUGAAAUCCCAGGGCUCAACCUUGGGACUGCAUUUUUAACUGCCGAGCUAGAGUAUGUCAGAGGGGGGUAGAAUUCCACGUGUAGCAGUGAAAUGCGUAGAUAUGUGGAGGAAUACCGAUGGCGAAGGCAGCCCCCUGGGAUAAUACUGACGCUCAGACACGAAAGCGUGGGGAGCAAACAGGAUUAGAUACCCUGGUAGUCCACGCCCUAAACGAUGUCAACUAGCUGUUGGGGCCGUUAGGCCUUAGUAGCGCAGCUAACGCGUGAAGUUGACCGCCUGGGGAGUACGGUCGCAAGAUUAAAACUCAAAGGAAUUGACGGGGACCCGCACAAGCGGUGGAUGAUGUGGAUUAAUUCGAUGCAACGCGAAAAACCUUACCUACCCUUGACAUGUCUGGAAUGCCGAAGAGAUUUGGCAGUGCUCGCAAGAGAACCGGAACACAGGUGCUGCAUGGCUGUCGUCAGCUCGUGUCGCGAGAUGUUGGGUUAAGUCCCGCAACGAGCGCAACCCUUGUCAUUAGUUGCUACGCAAGAGCACUCUAAUGAGACUGCCGGUGACAAACCGGAGGAAGGUGGGGAUGACGUCAAGUCCUCAUGGCCCUUAUGGGUAGGGCUUCACACGUCAUACAAUGGUCGGGACAGAGGGUCGCCAACCCGCGAGGGGGAGCCAAUCUCAGAAACCCGAUCGUAGUCCGGAUCGCAGUCUGCAACUCGACUGCGUGAAGUCGGAAUCGCUAGUAAUCGCGGAUCAGAAUGUCGCGGUGAAUACGUUCCCGGGUCUUGUACACACCGCCCGUCACACCAUGGGAGUGGGUUUCACCAGAAGUAGGUAGCCUAACCGCAAGGAGGGCGCUUACCACGGUGGGAUUCAUGACUGGGGGUGAAGUC
rnacentral:rRNA from 1 species